ensembl:lncRNA
AUGGAAGAGCGGCUGUGGAGAAAAAGCUAUGGAAGAGAGGCUGUGGAGAAAAAGCUAUGGAAGAGCGGCUGUGGAGAAAAAGCUAUGGAAGAGCGGCUGUGGAGAAAAAGCUAUGGAAGAGCGGCUGUGGAGAAAAAGCUAUGGAAGAGCGGCUGUGGAGAAAAAGCUAUGGAAGAGGCUGUGGAUAAAAAGCUAUGGAAGAGCGGCUGUGGAGAAAAAGCUAUGGAAGAGCGGCUGUGGAGAAAAAGCUAUGGAAGAGCGGCUGUGGAGAAAAAGCUAUGGAAGAGCGGCUGUGGAGAAAAAGCUAUGGAAGAGCGGCUGUGGAGAAAAAGCUAUGGAAGAGCGGCUGUGGAGAAAAAGCUAUGGAAGAGCGGCUGUGGAGAAAAAGCUAUGGAAGAGCGGCUGUGGAGAAAAAGCUAUGGAAGAGCGGCUGUGGAGAAAAAGCUAUGGAAGAGCGGCUGGGGAGAAAAAGCUAUGGAAGAGCGGCAGUGGAGAAAAAGCUAUGGAAGAGCGGCUGUGGAGAAAAAGCUAUGGAAGAGCGGCAGUGGAGAAAAAGCUAUGGAAGAGCGGCUGUGGAGAAAAAGCUAUGGAAGAGCGGCUGUGGAGGAAAAAGCUAUGGAAGAGCGGCUGUGGAGGAAAAAGCUAUGGAAGAGCGGCUGUGGAGGAAAAGCUAUGGAAGAGCGGCUGUGGAGAAAAAGCUAUGGAAGAGAGGCUGUGGAGAAAAAGCUAUGGAAGAGCGGCUGUGGAGAAAAAGCUAUGGAAGAGCGGCUGUGGAGAAAAAGCUAUGGAAGAGCGGCAGUGGAGAAAAAGCUAUGGAAGAGCGGCAGUGGAGAAAAAGCUAUGGAAGAGCGGCUGUGGAGGAAAAAGCUAUGGAAGAGCGGCUGUGGAGGAAAAAGCUAUGGAAGAGCGGCUGUGGAGGAAAAGCUAUGGAAGAGCGGCUGUGGAGAAAAAGCUAUGGAAGAGAGGCUGUGGAGAAAAAGCUAUGGAAGAGAGGCUGUGGAGAAAAAGCUAUGGAAGAGCGGCUGUGGAGAAAAAGCUAUGGAAGAGAGGCUGUGGAGAAAAAGCUAUGGAAGAGAGGCUGUGGAGAAAAAGCUAUGGAAGAGCGGCUGUGGAGAAAAAGCUAUGGAAGAGAGGCUGUGGAGAAAAAGCUAUGGAAGAGCGGCUGUGGAGAAAAAGCUAUGGAAGAGCGGCUGUGGAGAAAAAGCUAUGGAAGAGAGGCUGUGGAGAAAAAGCUAUGGAAGAGCGGCUGUGGAGAAAAAGCUAUGGAAGAGCGGCAGUGGAGAAAAAGCUAUGGAAGAGCGGCUGUGGAGAAAAAGCUAUGGAAGAGCGGCAGUGGAGAAAAAGCUAUGGAAGAGCGGCUGUGGAGAAAAAGCUAUGGAAGAGCGGCUGUGGAGGAAAAAGCUAUGGAAGAGCGGCUGUGGAGGAAAAAGCUAUGGAAGAGCGGCUGUGGAGGAAAAGCUAUGGAAGAGCGGCUGUGGAGAAAAAGCUAUGGAAGAGAGGCUGUGGAGAAAAAGCUAUGGAAGAGCGGCUGUGGAGAAAAAGCUAUGGAAGAGCGGCUGUGGAGAAAAAGCUAUGGAAGAGCGGCAGUGGAGAAAAAGCUAUGGAAGAGCGGCAGUGGAGAAAAAGCUAUGGAAGAGCGGCUGUGGAGGAAAAAGCUAUGGAAGAGCGGCUGUGGAGGAAAAAGCUAUGGAAGAGCGGCUGUGGAGGAAAAGCUAUGGAAGAGCGGCUGUGGAGAAAAAGCUAUGGAAGAGAGGCUGUGGAGAAAAAGCUAUGGAAGAGAGGCUGUGGAGAAAAAGCUAUGGAAGAGCGGCUGUGGAGAAAAAGCUAUGGAAGAGAGGCUGUGGAGAAAAAGCUAUGGAAGAGAGGCUGUGGAGAAAAAGCUAUGGAAGAGCGGCUGUGGAGAAAAAGCUAUGGAAGAGAGGCUGUGGAGAAAAAGCUAUGGAAGAGCGGCUGUGGAGAAAAAGCUAUGGAAGAGCGGCUGUGGAGAAAAAGCUAUGGAAGAGAGGCUGUGGAGAAAAAGCUAUGGAAGAGCGGCUGUGGAGAAAAAGCUAUGGAAAAGUUAAGUCAAUUGGGUUAAAGAUGGAAUCCGCAGUAGGGGGAAACACCACUGGCUGCCCCACCACAGUUAUUAUUUUUGUUUCCGAGCUGAGGAGCGUCGCAAAGCAUGGUAAAAAUGUAAAUCGGUUCAUACUGUGCUCUUUUAUCACACUUGCAAUGAUGUCAGAGGGGUAA